rnacentral:rRNA from 1 species
AUUGAACGCUGGCGGCAUGCUUUACACAUGCAAGUCGAACGGUAACAGCACUUCGGUGGCUGACGAGUGGCGAACGGGUGAGUAAUACAUCGGAACGUGCCUAGUAGUGGGGGAUAACUACUCGAAAGAGUAGCUAAUACCGCAUGAGAUCUAAGGAUGAAAGCAGGGGACCUUCGGGCCUUGCGCUACUAGAGCGGCUGAUGGCAGAUUAGGUAGUUGGUGGGAUAAAAGCUCACCAAGCCGACGAUCUGUAGCUGGUCUGAGAGGACGACCAGCCACACUGGGACUGAGACACGGCCCAGACUCCUACGGGAGGCAGCAGUGGGGAAUUUUGGACAAUGGGCGCAAGCCUGAUCCAGCAAUGCCGCGUGCAGGAUGAAGGCCUUCGGGUUGUAAACUGCUUUUGUACGGAACGAAAAGCCCUCUUCUAAUACAGGAGGGUCAUGACGGUACCGUAAGAAUAAGCACCGGCUAACUACGUG